rnacentral:misc_RNA from 1 species
GCCUAUUUUGUGAAUGAAAUUCUGCAUUUUAUUUUCUUCUAUGUGAUGAUGCAUUGUUUAGCCAUACAGUUAUGAUUUCUGAAUGUAUCUACAUUUAGACUUUAGCUAAUGGUUUAGGUACUAAAGAAAAAUGUGUUUGCCUCUUGUUUAGGUGCUUGAUGCCUUAUUUAAGGAGUGUCAACGCCAUGGGGAGCAUUUUCUUUAUGAAGGAUUAAUAACACCAAAAGACAUUGAAGAUGCCAAGGCUAACAAGGGUGGCACUGUGGUUAGCAUUGGCUUGCCAGCUUAUUGCCUUCUUCAGGCGCUCCUGCGCUCUGUGAAAGCCAAUUCUGAGGGUAUUUUGUUG